rnacentral:rRNA from 1 species
GCCCAGCCGUAAACUUUUAUUUACAUCUUAAUCGCCAGGGAACUACGAGCUAAGCUUAAAACCCAAAGGACUUGACGGUACCCCAUAUCCCCCUAGAGGAGCCUGUCCUAUAAUCGAUAAUCCACGUUUAACCUCACCAUUUUUAGUUAAUCAGCCUGUAUACCUCCGUCGUCAGCUUACCACGUGAGCGCCAAUUAGUGAGCUUAAUGUUACUUCACCAACACGUCAGGUCAAGGUGCAGCAAAUGAAAUGGGAAGAGAUGGGCUACACUUUCUAAUGUAGAAGAAACGAAAAACUACCUAUGAAACCUAGUUGGAAGGCGGAUUUAGCAGUAAAAAGAAAUCAUCAUGUUCAUUUUAACUCGGCACUGGGGUGUGU